UCCUACGGGAGGCAGCAGUGGGGAAUAUUGGACAAUGGGGGAAACCCUGAUCCAGCCAUGCCGCGUGUGUGAAGAAGGCCUUAGGGUUGUAAAGCACUUUCAAUUGGGAGGAAAAGCUUGUCCCUAAUACGGGCAAGCCUUGACGUUACCUUUAGAAGAAGCACCGGCUAACUCCGUGCCAGCAGCCGCGGUAAUACGGAGGGUGCGAGCGUUAAUCGGAAUUACUGGGCGUAAAGCGCGCGUAGGCGGCGUGUUAAGUCGGAUGUGAAAGCCCCGGGCUCAACCUGGGAACUGCACCCGAUACUGGCAGGCUAGAGUACGAGAGAGGGAGGUAGAAUUCCACGUGUAGCGGUGAAAUGCGUAGAUAUGUGGAGGAAUACCGGUGGCGAAGGCGACUUUCUGGUCUGUAACUGACACUGAGGCGCGAAAGCGUGGGGAGCAAACAGGAUUAGAUACCCUGGUAGUCCACGCCGUAAACGAUGAGUGCUAAGUGUUAGAGGGUUUCCGCCCUUUAGUGCUGAAGUUAACGCAUUAAGCACUCCGCCUGGGGAGUACGGCCGCAAGGCUGAAACUCAAAGGAA
rnacentral:rRNA from 1 species